rnacentral:tRNA from 1 species
AGGUGGUUAGAGCGCACCCCUGAUAAGGGUGAGGUCCCUGGUUCGAGUCCAGGAUGGCCCA